rnacentral:rRNA from 1 species
AAUAGAUACCCCGGUAGUCCACGCCGUAAACGAUGAGUGCUAAGUGUUAGGGGGUUUCCGCCCCUUAGUGCUGCAGCUAACGCAUUAAGCACUCCGCCUGGGGAGUACGGUCGCAAGACUGAAACUCAAAGGAAUUGACGGGGGCCCGCACAAGCGGUGGAGCAUGUGGUUUAAUUCGAAGCAACGCGAAGAACCUUACCAGGUCUUGACAUCCUCUGACAAUCCUAGAGAUAGGACGUCCCCUUCGGGGGCAGAGUGACAGGUGGUGCAUGGUUGUCGUCAGCUCGUGUCGUGAGAUGUUGGGUUAAGUCCCGCAACGAGCGCAACCCUUGAUCUUAGUUGCCAGCAUUCAGUUGGGCACUCUAAGGUGACUGCCGGUGACAAACCGGAGGAAGGUGGGGAUGACGUCAAAUCAUCAUGCCCCUUAUGACCUGGGCUACACACGUGCUACAAUGGACAGAACAAAGGGCAGCGAAACCGCGAGGUUAAGCCAAUCCCACAAAUCUGUUCUCAGUUCGGAUCGCAGUCUG